AUUGAACGCUGGCGGCAUGCCUUACACAUGCCAGUCGAACGGCAGCGCGGGAGCAAUCCUGGCGGCGAGUGGCGAACGGGUGAGUAAUACAUCGGAACGUGCCCAAUCGUGGGGGAUAACGCAGCGAAAGCUGUGCUAAUACCGCAUACGAUCUACGGAUGAAAGCAGGGGAUCGCAAGACCUUGCGCGAAUGGAGCGGCCGAUGGCAGAUUAGGUAGUUGGUGAGGUAAAGGCUCACCAAGCCUUCGAUCUGUAGCUGGUCUGAGAGGACGACCAGCCACACUGGAACUGAGACACGGCCCAGACUCCUACGGGAGGCAGCAGUGGGGAAUUUUGGACAAUGGGCGAAAGCCUGAUCCAGCCAUGCCGCGUGCAUGAUGAAGGCCUUCGGGUUGUAAACUGCUUUUGUACGGAACGAAACGGUCUUUUCUAAUAAAGAAGGCUAAUGACGGUACCGUAAGAAUAAGCACCGGCUAACUACGUG
rnacentral:rRNA from 1 species